CACGUAGGGGGCGAGCGUUGUCCGGAUUUAUUGGGCGUAAAGAGCUCGUAGGCGGUUCAGCAAGUCGGGUGUGAAACCCCCAGGCUCAACCUGGGGACGCCACCCGAUACUGCUGUGACUCGAGUCCGGUAGGGGAGCGUGGAAUUCCUGGUGUAGCGGUGAAAUGCGCAGAUAUCAGGAAGAACACCCGUGGCGAAGGCGGCUCUCUGGGACGGUACUGACGCUGAGACGCGAAAGCGUGGGGAGCGAACAGG
rnacentral:rRNA from 1 species